rnacentral:rRNA from 1 species
AGCGAACGCUAGCGGCAGGCUUAACACAUGCAAGUCGAGCGGGCAUCCUUGUGGUGUCAGCGGCAGACGGGUGAGUAACGCGUGGGAACGUGCCCUUCGGUUCGGAAUAACUCAGGGAAACUUGAGCUAAUACCGGAUACGUGCGAGAGCAGAAAGGUUUAUCUGCCGAAGGAUCGGCCCGCGUCUGAUUAGCUAGUUGGUGAGGUUACGGCUCACCAAGGCGACGAUCAGUAGCUGGUCUGAGAGGAUGAUCAGCCACACUGGGACUGAGACACGGCCCAGACUCCUACGGGAGGCAGCAGUGGGGAAUAUUGGACAAUGGGGGCAACCCUGAUCCAGCCAUGCCGCGUGAGUGAUGACGGCCUUAGGGUUGUAAAGCUCUUUUCUCCGGGACGAUAAUGACGGUACCGGAGGAAUAAGCCCCGGCUAACUUCGUG